rnacentral:rRNA from 1 species
GGUAAUGCCGGAUGCUCCGACUCCUCGCAUGGGGUGUCGGGAAAGAUUUCAUCGGUAUGGGAUGGGGUCGCGUCCUAUCAGGUAGUCGGCGGGGUAACGGCCCACCGAGCCUACGACGGGUAGCCGGCCUGAGAGGGCGACCGGCCACAUUGGGACUGAGAUACGGCCCAGACUCCUACGGGAGGCAGCAGUGGGGAAUAUUGCACAAUGGGCGCAAGCCUGAUGCAGCGACGCCGCGUGCGGGAUGACGGCCUUCGGGUUGUAAACCGCUUUUGAUCGGGAGCAAGCCUUCGGGUGAGUGUACCUUUCGAAUAAGCACCGGCUAACUACGUGCCAGCAGCCGCGGUAAUACGUAGGGUGCAAGCGUUAUCCGGAAUUAUUGGGCGUAAAGGGCUCGUAGGCGGUUCGUCGCGUCCGGUGUGAAAGUCCAUCGCUUAACGGUGGAUCUGCGCCGGGUACGGGCGGGCUGGAGUGCGGUAGGGGAGACUGGAAUUCCCGGUGUAACGGUGGAAUGUGUAGAUAUCGGAAAAAAAACACCA